AGGUUGUCUGCAGAGUGAGAUUAUGGCGAAGCAUUUUAUUCUUUUUACAAACCUGCUUUUUCUCAGUUUUCCACAUUGGAUUUGCCAGCUACCUGCCUUUGCAGGACACCUCAGAAGUUACAGACUUGCCUGUGGAAAUGCAGAGAGCACCUGAGGUAUUUCCCGGACUCUCCAGUAGUAGCCUUGAAUGGCUGACCAACCGCAGUCACCUGCCAGAUCUUCUCAGAACCGGCCAGCCCACCAGCGACAGGCCCAUUAAGUGGCCUGGCCCAGCCCAGAUGGAAAACCCCCUCCACGUGACUUUCUAAAGAACAUGCAUGAAGACAAAACACCAGGUGCCUCAGGUGUGACACCCUGAGGACACAUCACCUGUACAGUAUCCUAACC
rnacentral:lncRNA from 1 species